UUCGCCCCAAUUAAUAGCAGCAAAGAAGAGCCAUAUCUGCGAUCUGAAAGCAUUUUCUGAUUGAAAAUCCAUUAGGUUUCAGUAAGUUCUCUUUUCACACUAGCUCUAAAAUUGCUUUAACAUCAUCUGCAUCGCCACAAAAUUUUGUUUGUAAGCGUAGAACUGUGAAGAAUAUUGAUGAAGCUGUUGCUUUAUUCCGUCGAAUGAUAGUUUACCGUCCUCCGCCAUUGGUUAAGGCGUUCACUGAAUUGUUGAAGGUAGUUACGAAAAUUAAAAAAAAUAAAAAAUUCUGUUGUUAUUCAUCUCUUUAAAGAAAUUACUACUUUGGGAAUUGCGAACCAAACAUUGCAGCUUAUAACACCUUAAUUGACAGCUUAUGCAAAGAUCGAAUGGUAGAUGAUGCCCACAAGCUGUUCACUAGAAUGACUGAGAAAGGGAUUUAUCCUGAUAUUAUUACAUAUAGUUCAAUUAUUCAAUGUUUUUGUAAUUUUGGCCAAUGGGAAGAAGUUAAGAAAGCUACUGAAUCAGAUGAUCCAUCAUGGUGUGUAUCUGAAUGUCUAAACCUAUAAUAUAUUAGUUGAUGCGUUUUGCAAGGAAGGUAGGGCGGAAGACGCCAAAGCUAUCAUUGAAUGUAUGAUACAAAAGGGCGUUGAUCCUGAUGUAGUCACAUACAACACAUUGAUAGAUGGUUACUAUUGGCAGGGUCGGUUACAUGAAGCAAAACAAGUGUUUGAUUCGAUGGUGCAGAGGGGUGUUCAACCUAACACUAAUCAAUGGUUAUUGCAAAAGAAUGGAAAUAGACAAAGCCAUAGAUCUUGUGAGAGAAAUGUCUCUAAAACAAUUAAAACCUGGAAUUGUAACAUACACCAGUACUGUUUUGCAGGGAUUAUUUCGAGUAGGGAGAUUCUCCCAUGCACAAAAGAUGUAUGAUGAGAUGCGUGUUUUAGGAUUCAAACCCGAUACUCAGAGUCACACUUAUUGUAUCAUGCUAGAUGGUUUGUGCAAGAAUGGACAUGUUGAAGAAGCUCUGGUGUUUCUUCAAGAACUGGAAAGAAAGAAUGUUGACCUCAGCUGUUCUAUGUAUGAGGUUGUUAUUGCUGGAUUGUGCAAAAAAGGCAAGCUCAAUAUUGCUCAAGAUAUAUUCAAUAAUUGUGUGUUCUGAUGGUUUACAUGUCAACGUGAGGUCGUACAAUGCAAUGAUAAAUGGCCUAUGCCGGGAGGGUUUGCUAGACGAAGCAGAAGACUUGAUGAGGAAGAUGGAACAAAAUGGGCUUUCACCCGAAGAUUUUGCUUGUGAUUUUAUUUUGCAAGGAUUUCUUAAAAGGGAUAAGUUACAUGAGGUAUUUCCACUUCUGCAAGAAAUGGUUGAUAAGGGUCUCUCCUAAUGCACAUACAUUUCAGCUGCUGAUAAAUCUAGCUUCAGCUGAAUGUACUCUACUCGACAUGAUCCAGAGAUUAAGACCCAAAGAUUGUAAGUGAUUGUGUUCUAAUUUUGGUAAAGGAACAGGAUGCAGCAGCCACCUGGUCGCUGGUUAGAGUUAUGCAGGUAGUAAUGUAGGGAUUCGUUAUUCAUGUAUUAGUUAUUCUAUUUUUACUACCCUGCAUUAUAUAAUAAAUAAAUUGACUCAUAAAUUAUACUUGUGGGAUUGUAAAAAUAAUAACCAAACACCGUACCUGGUGUGCUGAAUUCUAUACAAAACAACUAAAAUCUACCAAACAUGGUAUUGACUAUGCUAGCUUCAAUAUAUGAAUAAUUCCCUUUGUAACCAACAACCAAACGACCCCCACUUUAACUGGAUGAUUUUUUCGUUGUUGCAAUUUACUUCUUCUUUUCUUACAUAGCUCCUGUGUCAUUGUCAAUUAUAUGCUUGCUCUAAACUUCUAAGAUAAAGGACUUGAUAUUACAGAGGAACGUAACUACAAAUCAUGCUGCAUUUAUUAAAAACAUCUUCCCUUUUGUAAUUUCUAUGUUCAAGGAGGUUGGCACUUUUAUGUAUCGAAAAUUGACACCCCUCUUAGAUCGUUGGAUGGAGAAAACUACAUUUCCCUUCUUUUUACUUGAACAAUUGAAACAUCAAUUAAUGAUAGCUUGUACUGUUUUAUGAUUACAUUACAGAGUAUUGAACAUUUUCCUUUCUGAAUGUUUACACUGGUUUCACAUGUUGAGAAACUAACUGAAGUAUUCUUUCACUAUUGACUAUGAGUAGAUUAGGAUGUGGUUGAGAUUGUCUGAAGAUAAGCAUCAGCCAUCAUGUGUCCUAGGAAGACUUGGGAAGAAGCAGUAAGGUGUAAAUUGUCUUUAUGCAACUCCAAACCCCUGGCAUCAACAGUUACUACAUUUGCAAGGUCAGGAUUUAACUGUGCUUCUCUUACUAUAUCUGUGUAAUUUGUUCCUGAAGCUAGAGCCACCUACAUAAGUUUGAACAAAAGAAGUGUAAACAAGUAAGGAUAACUAAUAACCAACUUUGCAAGGGAUGCUUGACUGACCUCAGAUUGUGACGGAGAAUUUAUUGUAUUAUUGAAGCUAAGAUUUCAAAAUCUAAUAUUUGUUGAAAUUUUAGUGGAAUUUCACACACACACACACACACAUAUACGCUCCGUGUUGAAAAUAUACUGCAUUUGGAUGAACCUGCAGCUUAAGAACCGGUUCCUGCAGUAAGAGUUACUCCCUUUGUUUCAAUUUGUUUGACUGCGUACCUUCCUUUUUAGUCUGUUUCAGAAAGAAUAUCUCUUUCCUUUAUAAGAACUCUUUAAUUUCCAAAUGACAUGUUUAAAACCACAAGAUUAAAAGACAUUUUGGUACAUUCCACAUAUCUUUAGUUUAAGAUCGCAACACUCAAAAGUUUUCUUUAUUUUCUUAAACUCCCCGUCAAAAUUGGAACGGGGGAGUACCAAAUUUAAGGUUACCUGGAUAAUCAAAAGAUCUGGUAUCCCAACAUCACUUCUCAAGUCUGUGAAAAAUUGUUGCAUUUUUCCUUUAUAAGCAUUUGCAUUACUCAGUAACGUUGUGUCACUCUCCCCUUGAUACCAAAGCAUAGCUCUAGUUACCCCACAUUCUUGCACUGCAGCAGCUUUGGCUCUCAUCACCAGCUGAUUGUAAAGGAAAGUUCCCUUUUGCCAUUGACUUAUUCUGUUCCCCGCCAUUGCGCAUGGUACCAACCCUACUUCCCCAAGAAACGAAGUUUUAUUCAACAAAGAAUUUGCGAAGGGCAUACCUGCACACACGAAUCUAGAAUUUAUAGUUAGCAUGUCCAGAGCGAGUCUAAUCUAUUGAAAUCCGCCUCUACAUACCUGGACCAAUCCCACAAGUAACAUUUGUGUCGAUAUCUGCAUGUAAAG
rnacentral:lncRNA from 1 species